UACAGAGGUGGCAAGCGUUGUUCGGAAUUACUGGGCGUAAAGCGUGCGCAGGCGGCUUUGCAAGACAGAUGUGAAAUCCCCGGGCUCAACCUGGGAACUGCAUUUGUGACUGCAUGGCUAGAGUGCGGCAGAGGGGGAUGGAAUUCCGCGUGUAGCAGUGAAAUGCGUAGAUAUGCGGAGGAACACCGAUGGCGAAGGCAAUCCCCUGGGCCUGCACUGACGCUCAUGCACGAAAGCGUGGGGAGCAAACAGG
rnacentral:rRNA from 1 species